rnacentral:rRNA from 1 species
CCUACGGGGGGCAGCAGUGGGGAAUAUUGCACAAUGGGGGAAACCCUGAUGCAGCAACGCCGCGUGAGUGAAGAAGUAUUUCGGUAUGUAAAGCUCUAUCAGCAGGGAAGAAAAUGACGGUACCUGAGUAAGAAGCCCCGGCUAACUACGUGCCAGCAGCCGCGGUAAUACGUAGGGGGCAAGCGUUAUCCGGAUUUACUGGGUGUAAAGGGAGCGUAGACGGCGAUACAAGUCUGAAGUGAAAGCCCGGGGCUCAACCCCGGGACUGCUUUGGAAACUGUGUUGCUGGAGUGCUGGAGAGGCAAGCGGAAUUCCUAGUGUAGCGGUGAAAUGCGUAGAUAUUAGGAAGAACACCAGUGGCGAAGGCGGCUUGCUGGACAGUAACUGACGUUGAGGCUCGAAAGCGUGGGGAGCAAACAGGAUUAGAUACCC